rnacentral:lncRNA from 1 species
GUAUCGUUCCCCUUUAUACAGUCUAUAAAGGAAAGGAAAACAACAACUGUACAAGAAAACAUUUCAUUGAUAACAAUUAGUACACUAAUUUGAGUAAUGUAUAAUGGUAAAACAUUGGUGUUUUUUUUUGUCGACAAAAGAGUCAUUAAGAGCUCAAAGCAAGCCUGAAAGUAGCCACUAUGGUAUAUAGAUACAACAUAU